rnacentral:lncRNA from 1 species
UCAUUUUUAAUAAUUACAAAAAUAUCACGUUGAAUAUAAGUUACUAAUGUACCAUUUUAUAAGUUUUUUUGGGGUUGGAUUUUGACCCAAAGCUUCACUAGGAUCAUGGACCUAUGUAUGUAGACUAUAUACACACACGAGAUAUUAUGGCCUAGUUAAAUUGGGUUGGGUUGGUUGCUCCCUUUGGAAAAGAUUACACCAAAAGUUGUAAUUGACUUUUCAACAAAAUCUAUUACAUAAGCCCAACUUAAUACUGUUAUGUUUACCCUUAUCUGUUCUUUUAUUUGGGCCUGGGGGAUGACAAGGCUUGGUUGAUAAGUUAGGUUCUUUGGAGCAUUGGAUCUACUUGACUACUUCAUCCCUCUAGUUCAUUAUUACAUGUAUUUAUUACACUUUUUGCAAAUACAAAAACGUCCCAUUUUAAUAUCAAUCACUCACUUAUUAAAUACUGACAAAUAUAGGCUCAUAAAAUUUCAGUGGGGGCAGGUGACCCCCCCUGCCCCUAACCUGGGACCGCCCCUGAUCCCACGUAAAAAACUAAAAUUUAAGGUCCUGCCAAUAUAUACAACUCUUUUAAUUUUACUUUUCCCUAUCAUUAUGGCUAGCAGAUCCAUCAUUAAUAUUAUCCAUAACACAUGAACCCAACAAUACAGAAAUCACAACCAACAAUCAUAAGAUUCAUAACAUUAACAUGAUUUAAAAACAUUGUUCUUGACUAUUAAGUAUUAACCUCCAACUUCACAUAAUCACAAUCCAACCCGAAUGAAAUUUUUAAGAUUAAACGAAUAUCCAAAAUCCCUUGAUACCCAGGGAAACUUAAAUAAGAAUUCAAGCAUAAUAGCAAUAAGUUAAGCCUAAUUGAACACACAAUUGGACUGUGUAAAAGCUUGUCUAGUUUUCAGCAACCAACCAAUGUCGAGAGUGAGCACAUCAGAUAAAUCACAAAUAAAUAAACAAAUAAUUUUCAAUAAUAUCAUGAAGAUAUUUUUGUUAAAAGAUAAAAUAGAUGUAUUAAAUAUUGUUGUUGUGUUAUUACAAAGAGUACUGAAGCAUUCUAUAUAAGCUACUAGUUGAG